rnacentral:rRNA from 1 species
AGAGUUGAUCAUGGCUCAGGAUGAACGCUAGCUACAGGCUAACACAUGCAAGUCGAGGGGCAGCAGGAGCUUAGCUGCUAAGUUGCUGGCGACCGGCGCACGGGUGAGUAACGCGUAUCCAACCUUCCCCUUAGUAGAGGAUAGCCCGGUGAAAAUCGGAUUAAUACUCUAUGUUGUUCAAUGCAGGCAUCUAAGUUGAACCAAAGAUUUAUCGCUAAGGGAUGGGGAUGCGUCUGAUAGGUAGUCGGCGGGGUAACGGCCCACCGAGCCAUCGAUCAGUAGGGGUUCUGAGAGGAAGGUCCCCCACAUUGGAACUGAGACACGGUCCAAACUCCUACGGGAGGCAGCAGUGAGGAAUAUUGGUCAAUGGGCGAGAGCCUGAACCAGCCAAAAGUAGCGUGCAGGAAGACGGCCCUAUGGGUUGUAAACUGCUUUUAUAUAGGGAUAAAGUCGGGGACGUGUCCCCGUUUGUAGGUACUAUAUGAAUAAGGACCGGCUAAUUCCGUGCCAGCCGCCGC